GUAAUCCCUGAAAUCGAGUUACAAAUUCGUUAAGAAAUUUAAUCUGAAAACGUUUAUAAAUAUCGACCUAAUUUUUGAUCGCUCAGAGCUGCUUUCAGGAGGCGACUCGUGCGACAGCAUCGUUUCGAUUUUUUUCUCGGGGAAAACGUACCUGCCUCGAUCCGCUCCCGCGAGUGUUUCAUAAUAACUCCAAAUCCGUCAUUCAGGCAUUGACUGUAAGUCACGAUGAUGAAAAAACACGUUGGACGUCGAGAUCGGCUGAUAUUGGUAGAUGUGCUUGUGGGACUUGAAAGCCAUCGUCGCUUGACUGACCGAGCCUUGGCUCGACGAUUAAAACCUCGUUCUAUUCGGGAUGUUACCUUCGCCUCACGGGCAGGGCAAAGUACAGGAAACGAAAAAAAAAAAAUAAUCGAAGUAAUGUCGAACCAAAAAAACUUGCGGCUUUUUUCUAUUUUUUUUUUGUCGUUGUUUCAAAACUCACGAUUCCCACGAUGAUGGUGAUUUAUCAUUUCGUUGUGACUGCGACUCAUCCGAAGAACAAUUAUGCCAUUACAAAAACGUUGAGAUUGGAGGCCUCUCGAGGGUUUUCCAUUAUAAAAAACCGGGAACAGAAAAAUACGGCGUCAUUCACGCCAAGCAAAAACCACUUACAAGCCGGAUCGUGGAGAUUUUUACUCUGGCACUACGUCAAUAUUUAUCUGUAAACGGAUGCAUGAAUAUCCGUAAAUAAAUAUUUUUUGCAUAAUUA